rnacentral:rRNA from 1 species
AGCAGCCGCGGUAAUUCCAGCUCCAAUAGCGUAUAUUAAAGUUGUUGCAGUUAAAAAGCUCGUAGUUGAAUUUCGGGGUUCUACCGUCGGUCGGGCUAACAAGUCUGUACUGGUGUGUAGAAUUUCUACCUUCUGGGGAACUAUCAUGUUAUUAAUUUAGCGUGGUGGGAAACCAGGACCUUUACCUUGAAAAAAUUAGAGUGUUCAAAGCAGGCUUACGUCUGAAUACAUUAGCAUGGAAUAAUAGAAUAGGACGGUGGUCCUGUUUUGUUGGUUUCUGAAUCACCGUAAUGAUUAAUAGGGAUAGUUGGGGGCAUUAGUAUUCAAUUGUCAGAGGUGAAAUUCUUGGAUUUAUUGAAGACUAACUUCUGCGAAAGCAUUUGCCAAGGAUGUUUUCAUUAAUCAAGAACGAAAGUUAGGGGAUCGAAGACGAUCAGAUACCGUCGUAGUCUUAACCAUAAACUAUGCCGACUAGGGAUCGGACGAUGUUAAAUUUUAUUGACUCGUUCGGCGCCUUACG